CACGUAGGGGGCAAGCGUUGUCCGGAUUUAUUGGGCGUAAAGAGCUCGUAGGCGGUGUGUCGCGUCGGCCGUGAAAACCUGCAGCUUAACUGUGGGCUUGCGGUCGAUACGGGCAUCACUGGAGUUCGGCAGGGGAGACUGGAAUUCCUGGUGUAGCGGUGAAAUGCGCAGAUAUCAGGAGGAACACCGGUGGCGAAGGCGGCAUCCUGGACCGGCAUUGACGCUGAGGCGCGAAAGCUAGGGGAGCAAACGGG
rnacentral:rRNA from 1 species